AGACUCUGAAAAUCUCCAUUCUGUUUCUGAUUUCUUCAGCGAUAAUACCCAUAUCUGCUUUUAGACUCUGGGUGUUAUACAGUUCUUUACCUGACCAACCACAGGUUUGUGUGUGGUGAACCACCUUUGCUUAGGCUAUCGCCUACUUGGACCGAACGUUACCUACACAAAGCGAUGGGAAACACCUACUUGAAUUACUUGCAAGAUAAUUCUUAGAUGUUACAUAUCCAGCUACUCCAUUCGCUUAAUAUUCGGUGAAAAUGUCUACAAAAUAUUGCAAUUCAUAUUCUAAGGCAUAUAUCUUCUGAAAAUGAUUUAUCGUGUGACUGAUCAAUAAGACCUCAAGUUUUUCAAAUAAAAUAUAUUACUGCUCAUCGUGCAUUUGGAAGGCUUAAUCUGUUUGAUAUCCGCCAUCAGACCACAAAAAGGGAUUGCCAACCUAUGUAACUAUCGAUCCAUGAAGGAUUCUUAAACUUUGUAGCAUAAAAUCAGGACUACACGUUUCCCGGCGUGAAUUACUUAAUCGCCUAGCCAGAUUUUGUGAUCAAGCGUGGCAUUUUGGAGAGGAGUUUGUGGAUUUCAAUCUUAUCAAUUUAAUCCUCGAAAUACAUACGGAAUAUCAAGCGUCGGUAGGUUUUAUUCAUUUUCACUUCGGCUACACUACAUCUAGUAAUUCCUCCGAUGUAUUUCCAGACGGAGAAUUUUUGCUGCCGCAGGCAACAUUACACCGUGAUGAUACUUGUUAUAUGUCUGCUAAUUGGCCCCAUCUUUCUAAUGGCUGCCCCUUCACAGGACCUUUCAGACGAUGAAGAUUUUGAGGGCAGUUCAGACUGGAAGAAUGUGCACGAGCGAGGACAUGAUGUAGGGAAUCCUAGGUACGGUCACGUGAUUGCUGAUGCGCCUCCGAGGAUUAUGGGUAACCUCGAUAGACUUCCGGUGGA